GACGAACGCUGGCGGCGUGCUUAAUACAUGCAAGUCAACUGAACUUGAGGUAGCAAUAUUUCAAGGGAGGUGGCGCACGGGUGAGUAACACGUAGGUAAUCUGCCUUUAGGUCUGACACAACCCGACCGAAAGUAACGGGUCGGGUACUUAAUUACUACGAAGUAUAGUAGUCGACGACGGGCCGGUCCGUACCGAACUACGUACGGAACGAACGUUAGGUUUUAAACCGUUUUAAACCCGGGUUCCGGGGUAACCGU
rnacentral:rRNA from 1 species